UGGCGACCGGCGCACGGGUGAGUAACACGUAUCCAACCUGCCGAUAACUCGGGGAUAGCCUUUCGAAAGAAAGAUUAAUAUCCGAUAGGAUAUCAAGAUCGCAUGAUCUUGAUAUUAAAGAAUUUCGGUUAUCGAUGGGGAUGCGUUCCAUUAGUUAGUUGGCGGGGUAACGGCCCACCAAGACGACGAUGGAUAGGGGUUCUGAGAGGAAGGUCCCCCACCAUUGGAACUGAGACACGGUCCAAACUCCUACGGAAGGCAGCAG
rnacentral:rRNA from 1 species